UCCCCUAUAGCUCAACGGAUAGAGCGGUCUCAUACGGUGGGGCGCGUUGCGGGUUCGAAUCCCGCUAGGGGAG
rnacentral:tRNA from 1 species